CUUUAGUCUCGAGACUUUCCUCUCUUUCACCUCUUUUUCUUCUCCCUUCUCUUUUAUGCACCUUACUGUCGUCACGAUCUCACCGUCUCGUUCCAAACAAAUUUUUUCCCCUGCUAGCUUAGAAAGUGAAAGAAACUGGAGGUAGGAAGACGAGGCUUUUGUGUCUCAUCUAUGGUGGCGUCCCCCCGAAGUAGAAUCUAAGGCGCGGCGGAAGGAAGGGGAAGUGAAAGGCGGAGGACUUUUGAGUUUUAUUGGCCGAGAGGCUAGGGCACGGUGUGAUUUGGUUCGAUCUCGAUGUGGAAGCUCGGGGAAUCAACUUAUUGCGUAGUGGUUUUGUGGUUGUGGGAUUUUGGAAACCUUAGAUUUGGGUCAGGGUUGUGUGGUUGGCUGAUUAAGCUGGGGGCGGGGCUGCCCUUGCGAUUGACUGGGUUUUCAUGCUGUCAAAACCACUGCCUUGGGAUCGGAAGGACUUCUUCAAGGAGAGGAGAGGAAGCACGAGAGGUCGGAGUCUUUAAGUUUGCUGCAAGAUAGAGGACUCGCAUCAGGGUUCUUGGGAGUUUGCUCGCAGGAAUCGGCAGACUUGCGCCGUCCUACAGAAGCACGAGAGGUCUGAGUCUUUAGGUUAGCUGCAAGAUAGAGGGACUCGCAUCAGGUUCUUGGGAGUUUGCUCGCCGGGAUCGGUAGACUUUCGCCCCCCUACAGGGACACUUUUCUUUGCCAUGAGCAAUGUUGGUGAGAUUUAUAUACACUGGAUCUGUAGAAAUUAUAUUGGAUAUUGCACAAGAUCUCCUCAUAGCUACUGAUCAGUAUCUGUUGCAGGGAUAAAGCGUCCCUGUGAGUGUACCAUUGCCCAUGAUAUAUCACUGGAAAAUGUUUCAAGAAUGCAUGAGCUUUCAGAAGCCUUCCAUGCUAUUUCCUUAAGACACACAUGCCUCAUGUCUAUCUUGGAGCAGUUUAGUAAACUGAGUUCUAGGGCAGGUUGAAAGGCACGAUGAGUACAGAAGAAACUCAAAUUUUAUAAAGGAAUUCAUUUUCCUUGGUGGAUGUUUUCCUUCAUUCAUUAGAGUAACAAUGGCCAUACUGUUGCAUCAAGACACUGUGUGGAGCAUCUGGAAAACAUAAGAAUACAUUAUCACCAGACACUCAAACGUUGGAGGAAAAAUUUCUUGGACAAUGAGAGGAGAAUGGUUUUUAUGCUGAGUUUGGUCUUGAUGUUUCUUAAGAUGCAAUAAUUGAUUUUGCUUCCUAAAGGGCAGAGAUUGAAAUUGUUUAUGGUGUUUCUGUGGAGAAGAGCUUGAUUGGCCACUGUGCACCUUUGUUGUCGAUGCUUUGUAGAAAUUUUGGUUUGAUGCAAGAGGUGUAGCUCUCCCUCUUCACUUCUCAUAGCUAUGUCUAAGUUCCUCACAUUAUUUGAAGAUUUUGUUUAAACUCCACAUGGAAUUUACAAACCUUGACAUUUGAAUGUGUGGUAAGUAAUCUCAUCCUUCAUGAUGGAGGUAUUGAGCUAAAACCUUUUAGCCUGACAUUGGCAUUGGUUUUGGAAGUUUAGACUAGAUUUUUUCUUAAAAUUCAACAAAAUUCAUUUAUAAGGUGAAAAUAGUUUUUUUUCCCACUAUUUUUGAAAUUUAAAUUUCCUUUGAAUUUUAAUAUUUUAUUAUGCUUUUGGGAACAUAUGUUAUUUUGUGAAUUGGAGUGUUGGAUAUUUUUAUAUGCAUAUAUGCUAUUCUUUUGUAUAUGUUAGAUGAAGGGAAUAUAUUUCAUAUUAACGUACCAUUCACUAAAAAUCACUGGUGUUGUCAUUAUGGUAUUUUACAUUAUUACUAUGGAUGCGAUUGUAAUUUACCCUAGACCUAUAUCGUGCCGUAGAAAUGGAGGGGUGCACUGUAGCCAAUUAACCUAGUAAUCUUUUAUGCCAAGAGAUAAAGGGGCACUAGAGCAGUUUGUAUGAGAAGUGUGUCGAGAGAUGUAGGGAUAUUGUGUCUAUAAGGCACCAUGAUAUUUGAGACAUAUGUCGCCUGCGGUUGCAUAUGUGAUACAUGCUGAUGAAGGAAAGGGCAUUGUAGCAGUUAUAUUGCAUAUGUGUCGAGAGUUGGAGUGACAUUGUAGCCAUGGAUUAUGCAUGUGUUUGAUUGAUUAUACAUCGGGUAGUCCAAUGUUGCAUGUCUACUUGAUUGUUAUACCAUAUAUUAUCUACGUUGAGUGUUACCUACAUGAUAAAACUCCUCUUUCUACUUUGGACUGACCACACUACAACCUGUAUUAUAUGAUCAUUCACUGAGUUAUUCACUUUGUAGUUCCCUAAAUUUUUUAGAUGAGGACCUAGUAGAACCAAAUACCAAGCAAGGUAUGGAGGAUAGUCAACAAGGCAUAUAAAUGUUGUUGUCGUUUCCUUUUGCUUCUUUUUGGAUAGACUACUGGCAUGUAGCCAUUUUCUUAGGUAUGUACAAGUUUUCGAUCCCUUAAGACCAGCUUUUAUGUAUGCAAAACUGUUUAUCUCGGACAUAGUAAUGAAUUUAUAGUUCCUUUAAUAUGCAUCCUUGUAUUGCUUUGACAUAGUAUAUCUUGUCACAAGUUAAUUUUCUUUCAUAGGAUAGUAUCUACAUCUCAGUCUUCAGACUAGGGAAGAGACGUUGUCUUGCGUGGAUGGCGCUUGCAAGGGUGGGUCGUCACAUUUUUUGUACAUAUUAACCAUAUUUUGUGGUUUUAAUCUGUUUUUCUUCUUACUCAAACUUGUAUGAGUAUCAUUUAAUAUCUUUGAUGCAGUGUUUUUCUAUGUUGAAGAGCAAGAUGCAUUUGAUGUGUAUUCCAUAAUCAAUGGCUUCUCUAGUCUUACCCUUUCUUGUAAAAUGUAAAGUAGAUGUUGUAUAGUCUUAGGUCCAAUCUCAGUGUUCUUCCAAAUCUGAAUUCUCUUUUUUGAGUUUCUAAUGAUCAUGUUGAUGAUGUACUAAUUCUUGAUCAGGUGGCCUUGCAUCGAAAUGCUUUUAAAAUCUAUACUUUUUUUUUCCCAACAACAACCCCAAGGAAACAUGAUGGUAUGCUGCUGCUGAUAAUGUUAUUGUUGCUAUCUAUGCUACUCAUCCAACUCCUAUGGAGAAAUAUGGAAGUUGUGGUUGAAAAGGUUUUAAUGCAUGACUUCAUUAUAAGAUAUAAUGUCAUGGCACCUACGCUUGGACUAGUCUCUUAUUUACCCAUAUUGGAGACAUACUUCAUUAAUAACCUAGCAAGCAUAGAAAGUGAAAGAAACUGGAGGUAGGAAGACGAGGCUUUUGUGUCUCAUCUAUGGUGGCGUCUCCCAGAAGUGGAAUCUAGGGCGCAGCAGAAAGAAGGGGAAGUGAAAGGCGGAGGACUUUUGAGUUUUAUUGGCCGAGAGGCUAGGGCACGAUGUGAUUUGGUUCGAUCUUGGUGUGGAAGCUCGGGGAAUCAGCUUAGUGCGUAGUGGUUUUGUGGUUGUGGGAUUUUGGAAACCUUAGAUUUGGGUUAGGGUUGUGUGGUUGGCUGAUUAAGCUAGGGGCGGGGCUGCCCAUGCGAUUGACUGGGUUUUCAUGCCGUCAAAACCACUUCCUUGGGAUCAGGACUUCUUCAAGGAGAGGAGAGGAAGCACGAGAGGUCGGAGUCUUUAAGUUUGUUGCAAGAUAGAGGACUCGCAUCAGGGUUCUUGGAAGUUUGCUCGUCGGAAUAGGCAGACUUGCGCCGUCCUACAGAAGCACGAGAGGUCGGAGUCUUUAGGUUUGCUGCAAGAUAAAGAAACUCGCAUCAGGUUCUUGGGAGUUUGCUCGCCGGGAUCGGUAGACUUUCGGUCCCCUAUAGGGACACUUUUCUUUGCCAUGAGCAAUGUUGGUGAGGUGGGUAAAUAUCAAUACACUUGAAUAUGAUUGUCACAUCAUUUGGGGGCUUUUGACUCUGGAAGAUUUCUGAUUAAUGUCAUUAAAUUUUUUCUUUUUCUUUUGAAACAAUAUGCCCCUCGAAGACUUGCUUUGAAUAAAUAAGAUUUUAACUUGUUUAGCAUUGUCUAUUGUUGUCUUAUUGCAUUAGAGAGAAGAAAAAAUUACACCUUGAUUCCUUUAUUCUCCUUUACAAUUCUAUCUAGUUAACAUCCUAAACAAUUUAUCAUCUUUGAAAACUUGAAGACCUUCUACUUCUAGCUUUAUCUUGCAGAAGGACAAUGAUUCCUGAUCUAUCUGAAUGAGGUUUAACACCAAGAACCAGAUUAGGCCUUGGACAACUCAGAUGGAAAUUAAAUCUUGUCUGCAUCACUGCUCCAUCUCCAAAUUGACUUGAGCUUUUCUUAUUUACUGACAUUCUAUUUUUGUACAGAUUUAUAUACACUGGAUCUGUAGAAAUUAUAUUGGAUAUUGCACAAGAUCUCCUCAUAGCUACUGAUCAGUAUCUGUUGCAGGGAUAAAGCGUCCCUGUGAGUGUACCAUUGC